rnacentral:tRNA from 1 species
UUGUAGCUCAGUUGGUAGAGCAUCUGAUUUGUAAUCAGAGGGUCGGGAGUUCGAGUCUCUCCGGGG